UACGUAGGGUGCAAACGUUAUCCGGAGUUACUGGGCGUAAAGGGCGUGUAGGCGGUUAGUUAAGUCUGGCGUGAAAGCUCUCGGCUAAACCGGGAGAGGUCGUUGGAUACUGGCAAACUAGAGGACGGUAGAGGCGUGUGGAAUUCCGGGUGUAGUGGUGAAAUGCGUAGAGAUCCGGAGGAACACCAGUGGCGAAGGCGACACGCUGGGCCGUACCUGACGCUAAAGCGCGACAGCAUGGGGAGCAAACGGG
rnacentral:rRNA from 1 species